rnacentral:SRP_RNA from 1 species
ACCGGGCGCGGUGGCGCAUGCCUGCAGUCCCAGCUACUCAGGAGGCUGGGGUGGGAGGAUCGCUUGAGCUCAGGAGCUCUGGGCUGUAGUGCGCUAUGCCGAUCGGGUGUCCGCACUAAGUUCGGCAUCAAUAUGGUGACCUCCCGGGAGCAGGGGACCACCAAGUUGCCUAAGAAGGGGUGAACCGGCCCAGGUCGGAAACGGAGCAGGUCAAAACUCCCGUGCUGAUCAGUAGUGGGAUCGUGCCUGGGAAUAGCCACUGCACUCCAGCCUGGGCAACAUAGUAAGACCCGGUCUCCU